GAUUGCCUGUAAUGUCAUCUCUAUAUCUUUGCUUUGAACACCCUGCGUGCGGAAAAUUUGCUGUUACACCCAAAAAGAGCCAUAUUGUUAUAACAGUACUGUAUAAUUGUUUUCAUUGCUCAUGGCAAUUAAUAUUUUAUUUACGUAAUUGCAAAGAAAGCAAUAUGAUCUAUUUAUGCCAUCAUAUUGUUUAUAGCAUUUUAACUUAGGUUGAUUCUUGAACACGGAACGAAGCAAACUAUUAUUAGCCUGCGAGGUGGAAAGUCUGCAAGGCUGUCAUCGGCGCAUAGUAAUCUGUUAUAUAAAUUAAACAAAAAUAAGAGAUAACAGAUUACUUACCUUGCUUCGAAAACUGAUAGUUUUGAAUUUUAGACCACGAAAAAUUAUGAAAUCCGUAUCGAAUGCGCCGGUGACAGCCCGCACUAUAAGUUGUUUGCUUCGCUUAGUGUUCAGCCGAGCGUACCUAAUUGUCCAACGGCGCCGGUCAAGGAUUCAAAUCGCUGCUUACUCGUUUUAAAAAAUGGCUAGCGGCCAGGGAAAAUGAUUUAGCUCGGAUGUUUUGCCACAUAUCGAAUAAUAACAGCCGAUUCCAAGCUACGAACAAGUUUCAAAACCAUUGCCUGGGCUACCUGUGGUCAUAGAAGCCAAGGUUGGUUCUCACUAGAGGAAGAGUCAGAAUUGGUCAGGCGCAAGAAAUCAAGCAGUUGCGUUCUUUUGCGCUUGCGUUACAGCUACAGUUACA